rnacentral:rRNA from 1 species
UACGGAGGGUGCAAGCGUUGUCCGGAUUUAUUGGGUUUAAAGGGUGCGUAGGCGGCUUUUUAAGUCAGUGGUGAAAUCCAGCAGCUUAACUGUUGAAUUGCCAUUGAUACUGGAGAGCUUGAGUACAGACGGAGGUAGGCGGAAUUUAUGGUGUAGCGGUGAAAAUGCAUAGAUAACCAUAAAGAACACCGAUUGCGAAGGCAGCUUACUAGGCUGUAACUGACGCUUGAGGCACGAAAAGUGUGGGGGAUCAAAACAGG